GACGAACGCUGGCGGCGUGCCUAAUACAUGCAAGUAGAACGCACAGUUUAUACCGUAGCUUGCUACACCAUACACUGUGAGUUGCGAACGGGUGAGUAACCCGUAGGUAACCUGCCUGGUAGCGGGGGAUAACUAUUGGAAACGAUAGCUAAUACCGCAUAAUAUUGAUUAUUGCAUGAUAAUUGAUUGAAUGAUGCUAUUGCAUCACUACCAGAUGGUCCUCUUGUGUAUUAGUUAGUAGGUGAGGUAACGGCACACCUACGCUAAGGUGCAUACCCGAGCUGAAAGGGAGAAUCAGCAGCCUGGGACUGAGACACGGCCCAAGAACCUACGGGAAGCAAGCGUAGGGGAUCUUCGGCAAUGGACGGAAGGCUGGACGAGGCACGCCGCGUUGGUGGAGAAGGUCUUCGGAUCGUAAAGCUCUGUUGUUCGGGAAGAACGGGUGUCAGGGUAGUAAGUUCACGCUCUGACGGUACCUUACCAAAAAGAGACGGCUAACUACGUG
rnacentral:rRNA from 1 species